rnacentral:rRNA from 1 species
GUCCACGCCGUAAACGAUGGGUGCUAGGUGUAGGGGUGUCGACUCCCUCUGUGCCGAAGCUAACGCAUUAAGCACCCCGCCUGGGGAGUACGGCCGCAAGGCUAAAACUCAAAGGAAUUGACGGGGGCCCGCACAAGCAGCGGAGCAUGUGGUUUAAUUCGACGCGACGCGAAGAACCUUACCUGGGCUUGACAUGCACGGGAAUGUCGUAGAAAUACGGCAGCCCUUCGGGGCUCGUGCACAGGUGUUGCAUGGCUGUCGU